rnacentral:lncRNA from 10 species
CUCAUUUUUCUACUGCUCGUGAUGUUCAGCCCACAAGAGCUUACUGGUGAAGGAAUGGGACAAGACCCAUCUUUAUGCAAAGCCAGCGUUACAGUAAUGUUCCAGGUAUUCCUGAUGACAGUCUGCCUCUAUCUUACAGAGCAGCUUGUUGCUAUAUACCAUUGAAAAGCCUUCAGAGCUGAGAGGUACUACUAACCAAUAACCUGCUUGGCUCAAAGGGCCAGCACCUUCUCUCUAAAGCCCAAGAGGAGUUUGAGGAAAACUAGGUGUCUGUGUUCACUCCAGGCUGAAGUUACAGGUCUGAGCAAAUAAGGUGUAUAAAAAAUGGAAUCUGUCUUGGAGGACAUCAGAAGGUGAAUUUUCCAAGUUCUUGGACAACCUAGCUGUUGAAAAGCUUUCUGGGUUUGGGGGGUAUUUCAGAUGUACCUUAAAGUGUUAGCAGACACAGAUUAAGACACUGGGAGCCAAUGAAACAGCAGUUGAGGGUUUGCUGUGUAUCACAUUUCUGUAUUUUAUCACCCCCUUCCUGCAACAUUAUUUAUCUGGAAUCUACCUGCCCUUUUGUUUUUUAGAUACAAGGGCUUGGUUUUGUUACCCAGGCUGGUUUCAAGGCCAUAGCUUUAAGAGAUCCUCUCACCACAGAUUUCCAAAGUGCUGGGAUUGCAGGUGUGAUUCAUGGCACCCAGACUUUGCUGCCUUUCUUACAUGAUCCAGGCCCAGAACCCAAACUCAGGCACUGUAUAGAUGACCA